rnacentral:rRNA from 1 species
GACGAACGCUGGCGGCGUGCUUAACACAUGCAAGUCGAACGGAAAGGCCUGCUUUCCCUUGUGGAUUGCGGGUACUCGAGUGGCGAACGGGUGAGUAACACGUGAGUGAUCUGCCCCCAACUUGGGUAUAAGCCUGGGAAACUGGGUCUAAUUCCCGAUAGGACUGCAGGGUGGUGCCUGUGGUGGAAAACGAUUUUCUAGUGGUUGGGGAUGAGCUCGCGGCCUAUCAGCUUGUUGGUGGGGUAAUGGCCUACCAAGGCGGCGACGGGUAGCCGGCCUGAGAGGGGGGACGGCCACAUUGGGACUGGGAUACGGCCCAGACUCCCACGGGAGGCAGCAGUGGGGAAUAUUGCACAAUGGGCGGAAGCCUGAUGCAGCGACGCCGCGUGGGGGAUGACGGCCUUCGGGUUGUAAACUCCUUUCGACCGCGAGGAAGCCACCUGGUUGGAAGGGUGGUGACGGUAGUGGUAGAAGAAGCACCGGCUAACUACGUG